rnacentral:rRNA from 1 species
ACGGAGGGUGCAAGCGUUAUCCGGAUUCACUGGGUUUAAAGGGUGCGUAGGUGGGCAGGUAAGUCAGUGGUGAAAUCUCCGGGCUUAACUCGGAAACUGCCAUUGAUACUAUCUGUCUUGAAUAUUGUGGAGGUCAGCGGAAUAUGUCAUGUAGCGGUGAAAUGCUUAGAUAUGACAUAGAACAUCUAUUGCGAAGGCAGCUGGCUACGCAUAUAUUGACACUGAGGCACGAAAGCGUGGGGAUCAAACAGGA